rnacentral:rRNA from 1 species
UGGGGAAUUUUGGACAAUGGGGGAAACCCUGAUCCAGCCAUCCCGCGUGUGCGAUGAAGGCCUUCGGGUUGUAAAGCACUUUUGGCAGGAAAGAAACGUCGCGGGUUAAUACCCCGCGAAACUGACGGUACCUGCAGAAUAAGCACCGGCUAACUACGUGCCAGCAGCCGCGGUAAUACGUAGGGUGCAAGCGUUAAUCGGAAUUACUGGGCGUAAAGCGUGCGCAGGCGGUUCGGAGAGAAAGAUGUGAAAUCCCAGAGCUUAACUUUGGAACUGCAUUUUUAACNACCGGGCUAGAGUGUGUCAGAGGGAGGUGGAAUUCCGCGUGUAGCAGUGAAAUGCGUAGAUAUGCGGAGGAACACCGAUGGCGAAGGCAGCCUCCUGGGAUAACACUGACGCUCAUGCACGAAAGCGUGGGGAGCAAAACAGGAUUAGAUACCCUGGUAGUCCACGCCCCUAAACGAUGUCAAUUAGCUGUUGGGGCCUUCGGGCCUUGGUAGCGCAGCUAACGCGUGAAGUUGACCGCCU